UACCACAGGAGAAUUUGCAAUUGGUUCAAUCAUGCAGACAUUAGAUUUACAAAAUCUUCCCCCAAGUUCUACUAAACCUUUUCAAAUAUUUGUUUGAAAUGUUUGUAACUCUGAAAUGUAUAUAUAUAUAUAUAUAUAUAUAUAUAUAUAUAUAUACACAUGUGUGAAUUUCAAGGGAAGCUGCUAUACAGAUCAAACGGAAAAAAAACAUGGUUGACCAACACAAAAUUAGUCAGAAAAAAUAUUUAUAGUUUAAAAAAAAACCACACACCAAUUUUGACGUAAGACACACUUCUCUUCAUGUAUCCCCCUUCUUCAUUUUUGCUUUGAAAAACAGCAACAAGCUAUACUGGAAGUGCCAUUUUUCAUCAUUCAAAUAAUACUGAGCAUGAGAUAUAUAGCUAAAGGUUCUCCAAAAAGACUACUUUUCUAAAAAGAGUCUCAGGAUUCAAAUUAAGCCAACUAUUAACAAUCUGUAUAGAAAUGAUAUCGGUCUAAUUGUCUUUAUGUUAAAACUUUAAGUUACUUUAAGCAACAUAUUGGCCAGAUAUUUGAAUACGAUAAGGUGCAAAUUGGACUUCUAUUUAAGCAGACAGUGAUGUCCCACCAUAUAUUGUUGAAUUCCCAGACAUAAGAGCUGCGCAACAGGCCAAAUAUCUCACUAGCACUAGAUUAAAGAAUGUGUUUAUAUUAUGCUAGAUAUGUGGAAGACAACCUAUAUAACAGAAUAUUUCCAAUAUUUCAUACGAUGGGGCAUACACAUAUCUCAGCUGAUAAAAUAGUGCAAUCCUGUUAGUGUCUAUUCAGAGGAAAAUCCCAAUGAGAUCAACGAGCUUACUCUCAAAUAAAGGAGCAUAGGAUUGCAACCCUAAAUUCUUAAUGGCUGUUAGCUGAUGCAGCAUAAAAUUCUUCCACAGUUCAAGUCUUACCAGAAAAGAGGCCCUUUCUCUUUCUACAAAAAUGGCUUCUGCACCCUUAUAAAUUAC